rnacentral:lncRNA from 1 species
AGUUGAUGUUUCGGGGUUUAGAGCUUAGAAUUGAUGUUUCAUGGUUUAGGGUUUAAAGUUGAUGUUUUAAGUUUAGAUUUAGGGUUUAGGGUUUAAGUUUAGGGUUUAGAGUUGAUGUUUUAGGGUUUAGAUCUGAAGUUUUAGGGUUUAGAGUUGAUGUUUCGGGGUUUAGAGCUUAGAAUUGAUGUUUCAUGGUUUAGGGUUUAAAGUUGAUGUUUUAAGUUUAGAUUAGUUAACCUUAUUUUUUUUUUGUCAAAAGUAAUCAAAAGGUUAUAAAUGUCUUUUAUUCUUCGUUAAAGAUGAAGAUAAAAGUGAUUAGUGUAAAUAUAAAAAGUGGUAUUUUGAAAAUGGUAUUUUUUGGCAAUUUUC